rnacentral:rRNA from 1 species
CCUACGGGAGGCAGCAGUGGGGAAUAUUGCACAAUGGGAGAAACCCUGAUGCAGCGACGCCGCGUGAGUGAAGAAGUAUCUCGGUACGUAAAGCCCUAUCAGCAGGGAAGAAAAUGACGGUACCUGACUAAGAAGCCCCGGCUAACUACGUGCCAGCAGCCGCGGUAAUACGUAGGGGGCAAGCGUUAUCCGGAUUUACUGGGUGUAAAGGGCGCGUAGACGGCAGCACAAGUCUGGAGUGAAAUCCCGGGGCUUAACCCCGGAACUGCUUUGGAAACUGUUCGGCUGGAGUGUGGGAGGGGUAAGCGGAAUUCCUGGUGUAGGGGUGAAAUGCGUAGAUAUUAGGAGGAACACCGGUGGCGAAGGCGGCUUACUAGACUGUAACUGACGUUGAGGCUCGAAAGCGUGGGGAGCAAACAGGAUUAGAUACCCGAGUAGUC